GAUGAAGAACGUAGCGAAAUGCGAUAAGUAAUGUGAAUUACAGAAUUCAGUGAAUCAUCGAAUCUUUGAACGCACAUUGCGCCCGCCAGCAUUCUGGCGGGCAUGCCUGUUCGAGCGUCAUUUCAACCCUCGAGCCCCCCCGGGGGCCUCGGUGUUGGGGGACGGCACACCAGCCGCCCCCGAAAUGCAGUGGCGACCCCGCCGCAGCCUCCCCUGCGUAGUAGCACACACCUCGCACCGGAGCGCGGAGGCGGUCACGCCGUAAAACGCCCAACUUUCUUAGAGUUGACCUCGGAUCAGGUAGGAAUACCCGCUGAACUUAAGCAUAUCAAUAAGCGGAGGA
rnacentral:misc_RNA from 1 species